UGCUACUUCCCCACAGUUGCACAGCUGGUGUUUGUGUAUGUAAUUUGUAGAUGGUUUGGACAAUGGAGAGGAAUAUGUUCAGACAUAGAAGAACAAUUAAGAGGCCUCCUGCCAUCCAGCCCAGGACCUGAUAUUUAUUCAUGCAUUCAACAAAAAUCUGUUGGACAUUUUUCUUAUUCCAGGCCCUGUUCUAAGGGCUGGGGAUGCAGAAAUCAAACAAACUCUUGCUCCCUUAGAACUUAAAAUCGACUGGGUUGGGGCAGACAGUAAAAUCAAUAUAUUGUACUAUAUAUCAAGUAGCAAGACAAGCUAUGAGGUAUGGAAGACAGAGAGGGGCGGUAACUUGGGAAGUAGAGUUGGAGAAGAGUGAGGAGGUAAGCCCUGAGGCUGCCUGAAGGUAGCAUGUCCAAGACAGAGGAGGAAUUCCAGGGAGGGCGCA